GAAAUGCGAUACUUGGUGUGAAUUGCAGAAUCCCGUGAACCAUCGAGUCUUUGAACGCAAGUUGCGCCCGAGGCCUACCGGCCAAGGGCACGCCUGUCUGGGCGUCACGAAUCCCGUGCGUCACGGCGCGCAGCCGGCCUAAACGCAGGCCCCUUGGGCGCGAGAGGGCGCGACGACUGGUGGUGUGCGCGCGGCCCCAUGCCGCCGAGCAUCGCGUCGCGUCUUGCGCGGUCAGCGGGCGAUGGAAGGAGCCCCGAAACCGUUGCGACCCCAGAUCAGGCGGGACCACCCGCUGAGUUUAA
rnacentral:misc_RNA from 1 species